UACGUAGGGGGCUAGCGUUGUCCGGAAUCAUUGGGCGUAAAGAGCGUGUAGGCGGUCCGGUAAGUCCGCUGUGAAAGUCGGGGGCUCAACCCUCGAAUGCCGGUGGAUACUGUCGGGCUAGAGUGCGGAAGAGGCGAGUGGAAUUCCUGGUGUAGCGGUGAAAUGCGCAGAGAUCAGGAGGAACACCUAUUGCGAAGGCAGCUCGCUGGGACGUAACUGACGCUGAGACGCGAAAGCGUGGGGAGCAAACAGG
rnacentral:rRNA from 1 species